GAUGAACGCUGGCGGCGUGCCUAAUACAUGCAAGUCGAGCGAACGGACGAGAAGCUUGCUUCUCUGAUGUUAGCGGCGGACGGGUGAGUAACACGUGGAUAACCUACCUAUAAGACUGGGAUAACUUCGGGAAACCGGAGCUAAUACCGGAUAAUAUUUUGAACCGCAUGGUUCAAAAGUGAAAGACGGUCUUGCUGUCACUUAUAGAUGGAUCUGCGCUGCAUUAGCUAGUUGGUAAGGUAACGGCUUACCAAGGCAACGAUGCAUAGCCGACCUGAGAGGGGGAUCGGCCACACUGGAACGGAGACACGGUCCAGACUCCUACGGGAGGCAGCAGUAGGGAAUCUUCCGCAAUGGGCGAAAGCCUGACGGAGCAACGCCGCGUGAGUGAUGAAGGUCUUCGGAUCGUAAAACUCUGUUAUUAGGGAAGAACAUAUGUGUAAGUAACUGUGCACAUCUUGACGGUACCUAAUCAGAAAGCCACGGCUAACUACGUG
rnacentral:rRNA from 1 species